rnacentral:rRNA from 1 species
CCUACGGGAGGCAGCAGUGAGGAAUAUUGGUCAAUGGACGAGAGUCUGAACCAGCCAAGUAGCGUGAAGGAUGACUGCCCUAUGGGUGGUAAACUUCUUUUAUAUGGGAAUAAAAUGUUCCACGUGUGGGAUUUUGUAUGUACCAUAUGAAUAAGGAUCGGCUAACUCCGUGCCAGCAGCCGCGGUAAUACGGAGGAUCCGAGCGUUAUACGGAUUUAUUGGGGUUAAAGGGAGCGUAGGUGGAUUGUUAAGUCAGUUGUGAAAGUUUGCGGCUCAACCGUAAAAUUGCAGUUGAAACUGGCAGUCUUGAGUACAGUAGAGGUGGGCGGAAUUCGUGGUGUAGCGGUGAAAUGCUUAGAUAUCACGAAGAACUCCGAUUGCGAAGGCAGCUCACUGGACUGUAACUGACACUGAGGCUCGAAAGUGUGGGUAUCAAACAGGAUUAGAUACCCUUGUAGUC